rnacentral:lncRNA from 1 species
AAGGAAGAAAUAGCCGCCCCGUCAGUUUGGAAAAGGGGAAGGUCAGAGUUGAAGACAUGCACAUCUUUCCUGAAAAGGUGCCACCUGAGAGGGCAGAGGGAUGAACGUCUCAAACCAGAAUGCUGGGUCCACAGCACUGAGAUGGUGGGCGGCUCUGGGAGGUGCAGCCGCACCUGAGACAGAAAAGGGCAGGGCUACUCGCGGUAACACAGCUAAAGGGACAGAACAUUAUUGUCAUCACUGCCUCCAUGUUUGAUGUCCUCAGAGAGAAUGGGAGGUGAGAGGGGGAGCACAGAAGGUCUCAUCAGGUGAGCGGUCUGCAUGACCUUGGGAUUGAACCGGGCGUGAGGUGAGGCCAAGGAGAAGGGUGCACCUGUCCGGGCAGACGGCUCAGGUCAGGCCACUGGCUGGGAGUGCAGGGCCAGCCCGCAGACACCCCAGAACGACACUGAGCAGCUGGGAAGAAAAAGACUGGCUGUAAAAUAGAAAGUAACUAAUUCCCUCAUAAAACUGUCAAAAAUCCCCUUUGGACAGUUGGGUUUAAGUAACCAUAUUAAUCACUCUCAAGAGAUUUACAAGGAGAUUAGCAGAUAAAUAAGGUAACUUUUUUCCUUAAAGGGCUCGAAUCGGUUUUAUAUUGAAGACUGUUUAAGAAGAUAGAGGAUGGAAAUUUAAACAGACUUUACAGUAAGCUUAAGGAGCACAGCCACUCUGGAGGGCUGGAAAAUUUCCCUCUCGCUGUAUUUUCAGCUCAACCAUCGACCUCACUCAGAAAACAUUCAUUAAUUUAACUUGUGGCGCUGAGUCCAUUCAUAAGAAAUAAACCAUCGUGUGAAUGGUUUAUUUAAAACAAUAAAUAAUAUUUCUAUCUCUAGAUCUCAAAUUAUAUUUUUCGUUUUUAAAUAAAUGAACAUCCUUUCAGCUCCUCAAUAGAUAAAAUAAAACGAAAAGCAAGUUAAUUGAUAGUCCUUUGAGGCAUAAAAAGCCAUUUCCCCUGCUAUUCUCAUCAUUUUAACAAUCUAAGUAGAAGGUGAUCCUUUCUUCAGAGGAUUCAAGUGACAAGAGUGAAUUCCUUCAUUACUAAGGAUGGCAAGCAAUUCAUUUGUUCCUGGCUCGUAAUAACAGUGGAUUUAUGUGAGUUAUUUUAGCAGAAGUGAAAGUUUCUCCCCUGCAUCCUGUCUCAUGGCACCUUUUCUGUUCUUUGGGAAGCUGGCACUGCAGACAAGAGCGCGACCCUGUCCUGCCGAUGAGGAAGCCAGGACUCAGCUUGUGUGUGUGAGAUAUAUAUACAUACAUAUUUAUCAUAUAUAUCAGUAUCAUAUGUGAUAUAUAUCAAUGUAAUGGGCUGUUAUUCAGCCACAAGAAAGAAGGAAAUUCUGCCGUUUGUGACAACAUGGAUAGAAUUUGAGGGCAUUUUGCGAAGUGAAAUUAGUGAGACAGACAAAUAUCGAAAGACGAAUACUGUACGAUCUCUCUUAUUGUGGAAUCUAAAAAAGCUGAACGCAUAGAAAGAGACUGGUAGCCGGUGGCCUGGACUGCAGAGGAAAUGCAGAUGUGUUGGGUACAAACAUCCAGUUAUUAGAUGAAUAAUUUGUAGGAUGUCCCAUAUAGCAUAUGGUGACUGAAGCUGACAGUACUGUGUUAUACAUUUGAAGGUCGCUUAGAGAAUGGAUAGUACAUGUUCUCAACACACACAGGCGCAUGAGGUGACAGAGGCCGCCCUAAGCCCGCCGUGCUCACCAUUCUGCAGUGUGUGUGUCACGUGAACGCACACUACACACCCUGCCUCCCCCACCCCGGGAGUUCACAGUAUUUUGACAGCAUGUCUCUCAUCUGAUCCUGAAAACAACCUAGGGGGUAGGAGGGUCGGGAAGGCUGAAAGGAACCACGUGCCCUGGGGACAAGGGACAGGGGAUCAGUGCAGCUGAGCCAGCGCAGGGAGUCUGUGGGUGUGGAAGGGUAUGGAGGGGACACCCGUGCUUGGAAGAACAAUUGAGAAGACUAGUUUAGCCAGAUAAUAAAAUGAGAACAAAAAUUACAGGAGUUCCCUGGUGGCCUAGCAGCUAAGGAUUGGAUGUUGUCACUGCUGGGGCACAGUUUGGAUCCCUGGUCUAGGUACUUCCACAUAUGCUGUGGGCGUGGCCAAAAAUAGUAACCAUUACAAAAGCUGCAGGCAAUGACCCUUUGAGAACCAGGAUGGUUUGGGCUUGUCACUGUAAGCCCCAGGGGAACCCCUCUGUGCUUGGGAGAGGGACUGACACGGUCAGACUGGCUUUUAUGAUUUAGUAGGAAUCCCGCAGGGGUUGGAGACUCUGUUCUGACGCAGGAACUUAGGGCAGUGCAGACAGAGGUGAGAGAUGUGGGGGCUCUGGGGCUGCUAGGAAACACAAUGCAGGGGUGGAAAAGAAAAUCAGGCACUUCUGGCAAUUCACUGUCAUAGUCUCUCCAGAACUGAAGUCACUACUGCCACCUAUUGGUGAAUAAGAGGCCCAUCCUUAGGUUGAGCAGCGCAGAAAGAGUUAUGUUUUACCAGAUGCUGGCAAGAAGCUUGCUGAUUUCUGUCAGCCCACCCCCAAAUAUUUAUUGAUCUCUAUUCAAAAGUAUUGAGAGGAGUGAAAAAAAAAACACUCUGUCUUCGGCUGAAAAGGUUUAGGAUAUGGUUUAAGAAAUAAUAUAAGCCAAACAGUUCCCUGCUAAUCUAAAUGCAAUGUGAGGUCCCAGCAGGAGAAUUUGAUAGGACUCAUUAAGUUGCACUGGCUGAAAGGGUGGUGGUAGGCGGUCCAUUCAAAGAGGACACACACAGAAGGAGGCUUUAGAUGUGGUCAGAAAAGGAGCAGUGGGCCCAGGUCCAGUGGGCCCAGGAGAGCUCUCAACAAACAGCCUGAGAUUGACCUGUCCCAAGCUUUCAGCCAGCUGUCCUUUCCGGGGUGUGUGAGAUGCUCUGAGGGCACACGAACAUCUUCCUCUUUAAAACUGAUGCCAUCUGCAGGCUAAAGCCUAACCCUAACCCUAACCCUAACCCUAACCCUGCUCCAAAAGGAGCAGGUCCAGAUCCAUCCAAAGAAAGGACAGUAUUUUUCACAUCACUAGCACAGGACAGAAAAUUGCUGAUGCUGAACUGGAGAAUCAAAUGGCAGCUGGUCUCUGUCUGUCCUGGGAUUUAUACCUUUGUAUUUAUUUUAAAGGAGACUAAAAUUAAGUCUAACCUAAACCUGGCAGUCACUUAAAGUGGGUAGGUGGGUGAGUAGUAUUCGUGCUUUGCAGAGGGGAGACCGAGGCUUGGGGGAAAGUUAGAGUCCCCAAGGUCACACGGCGGUGAUGUGGGACAGCUGGGAUUUGAAGCCAGGUGGAGGAUUUCUGACCCCAUUUUCUGGAAAUGCCACUUUGCACUGUUUCCUGUACUCUGUCUUCACCUGCGUGAACAGCAGCUACUUGAAACGGCGUAUUUACAUGUAACUUGCUGAUACCAAGACCCAUGGCUGAUUUUUGUUAUUUUAAGCGACAGUCCAACCUAUACUAUCUUGUUUCUCCUUGGAGAUCCGAAUGGUGUCUCAUAAUUCCCUUCCCUCCGUAAGACAUUGAACAUGUAAGAGUUUCUUAAAUACUUCCAGAUUCCCAUCUUUUCCUUGUUUUGAAUGAUUCCUCAUCACUUGGAUGGUUUAUGUGCACUCAGCUCAGGACAUAAAUGUUUAAAAAGUUUGGAAUGAUUCAAACAUUUGCCUAAGAACAUCACCACUUGUUGCUUUAUCUUUGUAUCUGAGUAUCUCAGCUCAGAACUAUGACCAGAACGCACUAUGAGGCACUUGCCAGAGAAUUCUAAAGAAUGUCUCUUUCCUCUCACUCCCUCUAAGUACAUCACUUAGCUGAUUCAGAAUCAUAAAAGCCACAUAAAGGGGGUUCAGACUAAACAUGUAGGAGAGGAAGCCCACCAAGUAAGCUUUUUAUAAUUCAGACAUAAUUUACUGAUAUCUCUAAGACUGCCAUGAGCGUGGGGUAGCUACUGUGACAGCUGUCACGGGUGUUUGCACGCGAGGUCCACUUUGUUGCUUCCUUCAGCAGAGGCCAUUGCUGUAGGAUCAGUAACAUGGUUCUCCAAGGAGCAACGAGGUACUGCAAUACUGUGGUAUAUUCUCUUCUGGCCUAGUCUCGCUUAAAUGGAUGUAUGGGCAAGGAGUCCCGUACAGAGAAAAGCAAUUUUCCAACCUCCCUAGACUGAAACAUCUUCCUUUUAUUUAGGUGCUGCCCUACCCUGUAAAUUUUCUUCUUCCUGUGAUGAUAAGAAAUAUGGAAUACCUUGCACUCAGCACACGGAACAAAAGUUCUUCUGUGCACUGUUGGCUCAGUCUAACUCUGUGAGUGAGACCAGCUGUCACUACACAAUAGGUUAUGGAUUCUUUGUGUUAUUUUCCUGACAUUUAGUAUAGAGUUGAGGAUUUUGUGUCAUCCAUUGUUUUAUUAUAGAGUCUUUCGCUGUCGUAAUGUAACUCACUAACUCCAAAGCUUAUUAGCGAAAUUCUGCAAUGGUUUGUGGAAAUUGCAUGUUAUCAGAAAACCGGUUUGUUGUAGGAAAUGUUAGUCAUCAAUAUGGCUAUUAUUUAUUCAUUUGUUAUAAAUAACCUUUCGAGUUUUGUCUCUUAUUCCCCCCACCUUAUUUCCUUGUAUAAUUGUGUGAAUCACAGAGG